AAAAUCAACUUAAAAAAAAAGAAGAAAAAAAGAGUUUCUAUAAUAAAGAAAAGCACUCAUAUCAAGGAGAACUCAGUUGGAUGUUAAAAAUUAAAGAAUAAUCCAAAAACUGAGGAAGCCAGGCCAGCUAACCCAAGAAAAAGCGAAGCUUGGAGAAAUUCCAGCAGUGAUACUUUGGAAUGAACAUAGUGAAAAGAAUGAUCACAGUUACUCUUAACCAUUAACCUAAUUAUCCAUAUAAUAUCCCACCAUA
rnacentral:lncRNA from 1 species